AACUUAUGAGAAUCUGCAGAAACA
rnacentral:siRNA from 1 species